UACGUAGGGUGCAAGCGUUAUCCGGAAUUAUUGGGCGUAAAGAGCUCGUAGGCGGUUUGUCGCGUCUGCUGUGAAAACUGGAGGCUCAACCUCCAGCCUGCAGUGGGUACGGGCAGACUAGAGUGCGGUAGGGGAGAUUGGAAUUCCUGGUGUAGCGGUGGAAUGCGCAGAUAUCAGGAAGAACACCAAUGGCGAAGGCAGCUCUCUGGGACGGUACUGACACUGAGACGCGAAAGCGUGGGGAGCGAACAGG
rnacentral:rRNA from 1 species